GAUUGCCUCAGUAACUGCGAGUGAAGCGGCAACAGCUCGUCUUGAAUCUCUCCUCUGGAGCGAAAUGUGAGUCACAGUCUUACGUAGGGGACGGCGCGCAACUCGGCUGGAACGCCGGACCACGGAGGGUGCUAGUCCCGUGCCGUGCCGUCCUUUGCGAUAGAAUGUGUUAAACGAGUCGGGCAGUUUGGGAUUGCUGUCCUAACGGGAGGUAGACUCCUUCCAAAGCUAAAUAUUGACAGGAGACCGAUAGCGCACAAGUACUGUGAAGGAAAGAUGAAAAGCACUUUGAAAAGAGAGUUAAAAGACUUGAAAUCGCUGAGGAGGAAGCAGUGCGUACAGCGCAGGAGCCAGUGCAAGGGGACUCACGAGUCCCUGGAAGCUGUCCCGCUGCAGAGUGCAGUAGCAAAGGCGUGAGGGUCUGAGUUGCGUGCUCGGAUAUCUGCGACUAGCUGCUGAAGGCGCUCCGGCGACUCUGCCGCUGUGCGCACUGACCCGUCUUGAAACACGGA
rnacentral:rRNA from 1 species